GAUGAACGCUGGCGGCGUGCCUAAUACAUGCAAGUCGAGCGAACAGACGAGGAGCUUGCUCCUCUGACGUUAGCGGCGGACGGGUGAGUAACACGUGGAUAACCUACCUAUAAGACUGGGAUAACUUCGGGAAACCGGAGCUAAUACCGGAUAAUAUAUUGAACCGCAUGGUUCAAUAGUGAAAGACGGUUUUGCUGUCACUUAUAGAUGGAUCCGCGCCGCAUUAGCUAGUUGGUAAGGUAACGGCUUACCAAGGCAACGAUGCGUAGCCGACCUGAGAGGGUGAUCGGCCACACUGGAACUGAGACACGGUCCAGACUCCUACGGGAGGCAGCAGUAGGGAAUCUUCCGCAAUGGGCGAAAGCCUGACGGAGCAACGCCGCGUGAAUGAUGAAGGUCUUCGGAUCGUAAAACUCUUUUAUUAGGGAAGAACAAAUGUGUAAGUAACUAUGCACGUCUUGACGGUACCUAAUCAGAAAGCCACGGCUAACUACGUG
rnacentral:rRNA from 1 species